GCAGUGGUGGUUCAGUGGUAGAGUUCUCCCCUUCCGGGGGGAAACCUGGGUCCAAUUCCCAUCCAGUGCA
rnacentral:tRNA from 1 species